GGUUAUUUCUAAGCUGUAUAGCUGCUACUACUCAGGUACUAGAACACUGCAGAGUACAGGUAAGGCCAUGUGACUCUCCUUUCUCUGGACCUCAGAAAAGUCACACGGUACCUAAUAUUGGCAGCUGACUAAAAUGAGAAACAUGUUGUACCUAAUCCCUAAAGUAAAGUGCAGCGUCCGUUUAUGGCGGCUAUGUAAACUCUGACAUUGAUUAAUCUUGCCACAGACUGUUGCUCAAUUGGUAAUGUUCCUUUUUGUCUUCAUCUAAUGCCUUUUAAAAGGAAAGUAAUCCGAUUGUGCUACAACAUUUAGGUAAUCCAACAGUCAAGUUACUACUUUGUACAGGUAAUUAGGAACAGCAACAGGGAACAUUUAGAAAGAGUUACCCACCCCAAAGACGCAGUUUACACCAAGAGGACAAAGGGCUUGUUAUUAAUGAGAUAUCGUCAGAAUUAUAACACACAUUGGAUGCAAAUUAUUAGAUUAAGAAGACGGGAUGAGACGUUGGAUGAAAGUACAAGUGGAGGUUAUGUGUUUGGAAAAAGGAAAAUGAAAUGUUAGGAUGCAUUUUUCAUGGACAACCGGGGCAACAAUAACCGACGUGAGCAUUUUCACUGAGUCUGUGAUGCAUUAUUCAUUAGGCAGAGCGGAUGACUUAAGAUCCACAGUUUAUUUAUUUUUUUACAUUUUACUACAAUGAAAUGGGCUCUUUGAUGAGGUCUAUGAAUAAAACAAUGACACUCACAGACACAGAAAAGUUGGAGGCCAUUUUUUGGGGGAAGAGUAUUCUUGAAUAGGUUCAAAUCCCAUUUGGGAAUGGAGUAGGUCCUGGCGCUCGAAAUCGAAAAAAAUAAAAAAAGUAUUUGAAUGUUUGUGAAGGAAAUGCCAAGUAAUAAAAUAUACAUACGUUAUCUAAUACUAAGGGUUGCUGCUUUCUCCAUUGCCACAUGUAGUCCAGACAGUACAGUGAAAUAACAUGCAGUGAGGUCUGUAUUAUACAGCUGGUAAAUAAAACAUGAACACAGUAUGGCACUAGGAAAGAACAGGCAUUGAAUGCAAUCCCACAUAGUAGUUCAAUUAAACCUUGGGUAUUAAAUAUACAUUUAUUACAUACAGGCAGGUGACAAAUUAAAAGAAAAACAACAUUACUGUGACAUUAAGUGUCUCAGUAAGGUAUUGCGCCAUGGUGCCUUGACAUGUUGCUGUGAUUCUACAUUAGUAGGACACCGGUGCCCCGAUUGGAGAAAGCUAUCAGGUUCCAUGACCUUACGGAGGCAGCCAGCAAGGCCAGCCCUGCCCCUGUACAGCUACCAAGCCCAGCCCUGCCCCUGUACAGCUACCAAGGCCAGCCCUGCCCCUGUACAGCCAGCAAGGCCAGCCCUGCCCCUGUACAGCUACCAAGGCCAGCCCUGCCCCUGUACAGCCAGCAAGGCCAGCCCUGCCCCUUUACAGCUAUCAAGCCCAGCCCUGCCCAUGUACAGCUACCAAGCCCUGCCCCUGCACAGCUACCAAGCCCAGCCCUGCCCCUGCACAGCUACCAAGCCCAGCCCUGCCCCUGCAUAGCUACUGGUAGCUAUGCAGACUGGUCACCCCUCUGAGCCUGGGUCCUCUCUAGGUUUCUUCCUAAAAUUCGACCUUCUUAGGGAGUUUUUCCUAGCCACUGAAAUUCAACACUACUGUUGUUUGCUCCUUGGGGUUUAAGGCCGGGUGUCUCUGUAAAGCACUUUGUGACAACUGCUGUUGUAAAAAGGGCUUUAUAAAUAAAUUUGAUUGAUUGAUAGCUACCAAGCCUAGCCCUGCCCCUGCACAGCUACCAAGGCCAGCCCAGCCCCUGCACAGCUACCAAGGCCAGCCCUUGUACAUCUACCAAGCCCAGCCCUGCCCUUGCACAGCUACCAAGGCCAGCCCUGCCCCUGUACAGCUACCAAGCCCUGCCCUUGUACAGCUGCCUCCCAUUGGGACCUCAUCAAUGGAGGUAUAAAGAAACCCCAGUAGAGCAGGAUUGGGGGUUCCCAGGAACACAGUGGGUACCAUCAUUGUGAAAGGGAAGAGGUUUGGAACCUCUAAGAAUCAUCUAGAGGCGGCCGUCUGGCCAAACGAAUUAAUCGGGAAAGUAGGGCCUCGGUCAGGGAGGGGACCUCGAACCCAAUGGCCACUCCAACCGAGUGUCAGAGUUUCUCUGCUGAGAUGGGAGAACCUGCCAGUAGGAGAACCCACCCCGCAGAACUCCAUCAAUCAGGCCUUUAUGGUAGAGUGGCCAUAAAGGCCUGAGUUAAAGGAGUAUCCGUGCUGCCUGAAGGACUCUGAGAGCAUGAAGAAAAAGAACACUGAAUACUUUCCUAAGGCACAUUGUGUAUGUAUGUGUGUGUGUGUGUAUAUAUAUAUAUACACACACACACACACACAAAUAUAUACAUACAUGAUAUUAUUAUGGUACCAUAAUAUUCUAUUUAAUAAUAACAAUUCAGCUGGCCCUUUCAUACAAAGCAACUAAGUAAUGCAUGCAAACCUUUUUAAGUAUCUAACCAACAACAUUAGCAUUGCCAGCGCUGUGCUCUAUAAGCUGAGACGAGCAGUGAAGCAAUGUUCUGCUGAGGUUCGAGAAGAGCUAAACGUGGCAGCGUUAGCACAUUGCCAUCAGGGAGUUCACUGAGAGCAUCACACACCUGUUCUCCACAUCUCUAUUCACUGUCAGCUCCAUCAUUUUGUGCAGCUCGUAGCGUGGGGCAACCAGUUUAUUUUAGCAUCUCAGAGUCUCACCUUCAGUCAGUCUCAACGUCUCUCAUUCUGGUAAUUCUCCAGUCCAUUCUGAACCUAACUCCGCAGGACCUCCAAUACAUUCCCCAGUCUGAUAUCUUUCUUCUCCUCUGUGUGUAUCUCGACCUCUCAGCUCUUCUCCUCUGUGUGUAUCUCGACCUCUCAGCUCUUCUCCUCUGUG
ensembl:lncRNA